rnacentral:rRNA from 1 species
UACGUAGGUGGCAAGCGUUGUCCGGAUUUAUUGGGCGUAAAGCGAGUGCAGGCGGCUCGAUAAGUCUGAUGUGAAAGCCUUCGGCUCAACCGGAGAAUUGCAUCAGAAACUGUCGAGCUUGAGUACAGAAGAGGAGAGUGGAACUCCAUGUGUAGCGGUGAAAUGCGUAGAUAUAUGGAAGAACACCGGUGGCGAAGGCGGCUCUCUGGUCUGUUACUGACGCUGAGGCUCGAAAGCAUGGGUAGCGAACAGGAUUAGAUACCCUGGUAGUCAAGGGCGAAUUCGC